rnacentral:rRNA from 1 species
CCUCUAAGGCGCUUGAGAGAACUCAGGAGAAGGAACUCGGCAAAUUGACACCGUAACUUCGGAAGAAGGUGUGCCUUUAGUAGGUGAACCUGUACAAGGGGAGCCCAAUGAGGUUGCAAAAAAUCGGUGGCUGCGACUGUUUAAUAAAAACACAGCACUCUGCAAACACGAAAGUGGACGUAUAGGGUGUGACGCCUGCCCGGUGCUGGAAGAUUAAAUGAUGGGGUGCAAGCUCUUGAUUGAAGUCCCAGUAAACGGCGGCCGUAACAAUAACGGUCCUAAGGUAGCGAAAUUCCUUGUCGGGUAAGUUCCGACCUGCACGAAUGGCGUAACGAUGGCCACACUGUCUCCUCCUGAGACUCAGCGAAGUUGAAAUGUUUGUGAUGAUGCAAUCUCCCCGCGGAAAGACGGAAAGACCCCAUGAACCUUUACUGUAGCUUUGUAUUGGACUUUGAACAGAUCUGUGUAGGAUAGGUGGGAGGCUUUGAAGUGUGGUCGCUAGAUCGCAUGGAGCCAACGUUGAAAUACCACCCUGGUGUGUUUGAGGUUCUAACCUAGGCCCGUAAUCCGGGUCGGGGACAGUGCAUGGUAGGCAGUUUGACUGGGGCGGUCUCCUCCCAAAGCGUAACGGAGGAGUUCGAAGGUACGCUAGGUACGGUCGGACAUCGUGCUAAUAGUGCAAUGGCAUAAGCGUGCUUAACUGCGAGACUGACAAGUCGAGCAGAUGCGAAAGCAGGACAUAGUGAUCCGGUGGUUCUGUAUGGAAGGGCCAUCGCUCAACGGAUAAAAGGUACUCUGGGGAUAACAGGCUGAUACCGCCCAAGAGUUCAUAUCGACGGCGGUGUUUGGCACCUCGAUGUCGGCUCAUCUCAUCCUGGGGCUGUAGCCGGUCCCAAGGGUAUGGCUGUUCGCCAUUUAAAGAGGUACGUGAGCUGGGUUUAAAACGUCGUGAGACAGUUUGGUCCCUAUCUUCCGUGGGCGCUGCAGAUUUGAGGAAGCCUGCUCCUAGUACGAGAGGACCGGAGUGGACACACCUCUGGUGUAUCGGUUGUCACGCCAGUGGCAUUGCCGAGUAGCUAUGUGUGGAAGAGAUAACCGCUGAAAGCAUCUAAGCGGGAAACUCGUUUCAAGAUGAGAUCUGCCGGGGCCUUGAGCCCCCUAAAGAGUCGUUCAAGACCAGGACGUUGAUAGGUCGGGUGUGGAAGCGCAGUAAUGCGUUAAGCUAACCGAUACUAAUUGCUCGUGCGGCUUGACCCC